rnacentral:lncRNA from 1 species
GAAAAUGUUCUAAAUAAUUGGGAAAAUAGUGACAGGGAAUAAAUUUGUCAAACCAAAAUUUGAAGUCACAGAAACAUUUUGAAAUGGAUUUUUGAUUUGAUAAAAUAACUGUUUGGAACGGAGUUAUUUUGUUUUCUUUUGAAAUAAAAGUUUCAAAAAUGUUGAAACUAUUUGUGGCAUUGAUUAUUUUAUCUCGGUCACAUAACACUAUUUUAGGGUUUUAUAAAAUAGUUAAACAUUUUAUUUAAAACCUAAAUCUAAAUGCCAGAAAGAAAUAAAAAAAGAAAAAGGAAAA